rnacentral:rRNA from 1 species
GAUGAACGCUGGCGGCGUGCCUAAUACAUGCAAGUCGAGCGAACAGACGAGGAGCUUACUCCUCUGACGUUAGCGGCGGACGGGUGAGUAACACGUGGAUAACCUACCUAUAAGACUGGGAUAACUUCGGGAAACCGGAGCUAAUACCGGAUAACAUGUUGAACCGCAUGGUUCAACAGUGAAAGACGGUCUUGCUGUCACUUAUAGAUGGAUCCGCGUCGCAUUAGCUAGUUGGUAAGGUAACGGCUUACCAAGGCAACGAUGCGUAGCCGACCUGAGAGGGUGAUCGGCCACACUGGAGCUGAGACACGGUCCAGACUCCUACGGGAGGCAGCAGUAGGGAAUCUUCCGCAAUAGGCGGAAGCCUGACGGAGCAACGCCGCGUGAGUGGAGAAGGUCUUCGGAUCGUAAAGCUCUGUUAUUGGGGAAGAACAAAUGUGUAAGUAACUGUGCACGUCUUGACGGUACCUAAUCAGAAAGCCACGGCUAACUACGUG